CACGUAGGUCGGACGUUGUUAAGUCGGAUGUGAAAAGCCCAAGGCUCAACCUUGGAAGUGCAUUCGAAACUGGCGAGACUUGAAUAUGGACGAGGGUCGCGGAAUUCCCCGGUGUAGAGGUGAAAUUCCGUAGAUAUCGGGAGGAACACCAGUGGCCGAAGGCGGCGACCUGGGCCAAUAUUGACGCUAAGGUGCGAAAGCGUGGGAGCAAACA
rnacentral:rRNA from 1 species